rnacentral:rRNA from 1 species
UACGGGGGUGGCAAGCGUUGUUCGGAAUUACUGGGCGUAAAGGGCGCGUAGGCGGGGAGAUAAGUCGGGUGUGAAAUCCCUCGGCUCAACCGAGGAACUGCGCCCGAGACUGUCUUUCUUGAGUCCCGGAGAGGAAGGUGGAAUUCCGCGUGUAGCAGUGAAAUGCGUAGAGAUGCGGAGGAACACCGAUGGCGAAGGCAGCCCCCUGGGCUGACACUGACGCUCAGGCACGAAAGCGUGGGGAGCAAACAGG